AGCAUAUUUCGUAUUUCUUGAUCCAUUUAUACCCUUUCAUCUCCACCAAAACCCUUUUAUACUACCGAUGAUUUCGCCGCCGCCAACCACCGGUUCGAACCUAUCUCGCCAGUUUGUUUCGCAGGUGGUUCGUCUGGCUUGAGCCAAAUCAAACCCGUUGAGCACCACCACCGCGAUUGAUCGAGCAUCCGGUAAGCUUCUCUUUCCAUUCCAUUGUUCCUAAUUCGGGAGCUCCAUGAUUGACCCUUUGUUAGCCACCAUUGCCGAGUUCUUUUAGUCGUCUCUGUUCACACCAGUGACAUACCGAUAAUUCUGAGCCACCGCAUCGACUCCGUCUAAAGGUCUUCGUUGAACCUACCCCACCGCACCGGCCGUCGAUUUUCUAGACAUAAGGUUUUCAUAAACGAUUGGGAAGAAGUUAGCAUUGCCGGUAUUGUCAUCGUAGAUUGCUUAAGAUACUCAGGGAAAUCGGGGAAAUGUGUGAAGAGUGAUAAUAAAAAGCUAGAGUUGGAACAAGGAGUUUAAUAAAACCUUAUAUUCAAUAAAUUUAGACACUUAUGUUUUUCUGUUGACACCGUUAUGUCAUUUUAGGGAUUUUUGUUUUUAAACCUAUGGAAUUUAUGUUUUAAUUAAGUUAUUAAUUAUCUCUGAUUA